GCCUCGAUAGCGCAGAGGAUUGAAAAUCCUCGUGUCGGUGGUUCGAUUCCGCCUCGAGGCACCA
rnacentral:tRNA from 1 species